AUUUAAGUAAUUUAAAAAAAAUUUUGAUUUGUGGAAUCAAAUAUAUAAGUUAAUCUUAUCUUAAAUU
rnacentral:tRNA from 1 species